AAUGAACGCUGGCGGCAUGCCUAACACAUGCAAGUCGAGCGAGCGGCGGAGGGGAGAGUAAUGUCUGGGAAACUGCUUGAUGGAGGGGGAUAACUCCUGGAACCGGUAGUAAAAACCGCAUACCAUCAGAUGUGCGCAGAUGGGAUUCGCUAGUAGGUGGGGUAAUGGCUCACCAAGGCAACGAUCCAUAGCUGAUCUGAGAGGAUGACCGGCCACACUGGAACUGAGACACGGUCCAGACUCCUACGGGAGGCAGCAGUGGGGAAUCUUCCGCAAUGGGCGCAAGCCUGAUGGAGCCACGCCGCGUGAGUGAAGAAGGCCUUCGGAUUGUAAAACACUUUCAGCGAGGAAGCGGUACUCACCGAGAAAGCACCGGCUAACUCCGUGCCAGCAGCCGCGGUAAUAC
rnacentral:rRNA from 1 species